AAAGUAGAUUAUUGCAAAUAAGUAAAGCCCUAGCGUUCAUAAAUAAUUAAAAUCAAUUGAGCUACUGAAGUCAACCAAAACGGUCAAUUUAAUUCAGAAAAAUCAAUCAGACUCGAAGUAAAUUCAUUUCACAAAGAUAAUUAUUUUUUCAAAUCAAAACAGUAAAAUCGAUCAAAUUCAAAGUAGAUUAAAUUAUCCUGCUCAAACUUCAAUCAGUGAAAUCAAUCAGAUUCAAAUUAAGAUGGGAAGUGGUGAAUCCAAGACGCAAAAAGUUGUAGAUACAACCGGGGCAGUGAACAACAAUGUGGUGGUGACCGCAGACCACACGAUGGAGAAGACUCAAAUUUUAUUGUUAAUACUUUGUGUCUUAAAAACCAUUGAGUUCAUCUAUUUUGUAUACAUAAGUCAUCAGCGUAGAUUAAAGAAAAAAUACGCUGCAAACGCAAAUGUAAACCCAAAUAACAACGGGGGACCAGCGUAAAAAUUUACUGAUAAAAUAAAAUUGUAAACGUAAUGCUUAAGUUUUUUGAAUCUUUGUUAAAAUCCAAAAAAGUGAGGGUGUUGAAAAAGCAUAUAUUAAAGAACUACAGUUAGUUACAAUUUGUCAUCAGAAUAGAA